rnacentral:rRNA from 1 species
GAUGAACGCUGGCGGCGUGCCUAAUACAUGCAAGUCGAGCGAACAGACGAGGAGCUUGCUCCUCUGACGUUAGCGGCGGACGGGUGAGUAACACGUGGAUAACCUACCUAUAAGACUGGGAUAACUUCGGGAAACCGGAGCUAAUACCGGAUAAUAUAUUGAACCGCAUGGUUCAAUAUUGAAAUACGGUUUUGCUGUCACUUAUAGAUGGAUCCGCGCCGCAUUAGCUAGUUGGUAAGGUAACGGCUUACCAAGGCAACGAUGCGUAGCCGACCUGAGAGGGUGAUAGGACACACUGGAACUGAGACACGGUCCAGACUCCUAAGGGAGGCAGCAGUAGGGAAUCUUCAGCAAUGGGCGAAAGCUUGACGGAGCAACGCCGCGUGAGUGAUGAAGGUCUUCGGAUCGUAAAACUCUGUUAUUAGGGAAGAACAAAUGUGUAAGUAACUAUGCACGUCUUGACGGUACCUAAUCAGAAAGCCACGGCUAACUACGUG